CGGGGGGCGUGGCCGGCGGCCGGUCCGUCAGCGGCGCCGCGGCCGUGACAACAAAGGGCUCCGGAGGCGCCGGGGACGCGGAGCGGGGGAGCUGCGGUCCGGUUCACAUAAACUGUUUACAAGUCAUGCCUCUGCAUGUCCCGUACCUAAGCUGAUAAAGCAUCUAUGCACUUUAAUCUCAAGUCUGUGCCACUCUGCUAGUACAGUGUUAGCUGUGCCUUGAACCUUGGAUGUAACGACCUACCAGCCAAAGUCUUGUUCCUGCCUUAGUAAUGUUUCAGAGGUUAAAUAACAUGCUCAUGGGAGAGAUUGAUAGCUUGUCCAGCCAAGAGCCAGAGUUCAGUGAGAAAGAAGACGACGAGUGGAUUCUAGUUGACUUUAUAGCAGACACUUGCACUAAUUGUUCUGUGGAGGAAGCAGACAUUGUUGAAGAAUCAGCCACGGAUGGCUCACCCGUCUUCUCUUGUUUAUCGUCUCCCUUGGAACACUUGCCGGAGGCCAGCGAGUCUUGCUUCAUCCAGUUUGAGUCAUGUCCUAUGGAGGAGAGCUGGUUUAUUACCCCUCCCCCAUGUUUUACUGCAGGUGGAUUGACCACUAUCAAGGUGGAAACCAGUCCGAUGGAGAACCUCCUAAUAGAGCAUCCCAGCAUGUCUGUGUAUGCUGUCCAUAAUGCCUGUCACAGCCUUAAUGAGACUGGAUGUGGAGAUGAGGAGUUUCACAGCCCAGGUAGUCCCAGACUGGAGGCCCGAAAUGAAACAGGACAGCGUGUUCACUGCUAUGUCACGGCUCUUGCUACUCGUUCAACUUUUCUGGAAAAAAACAAGAGCUUUCGUCCUACCCACUGGAUAAAAGAACAUAAUGAAAGACACUGUCUCAAAAGAAACAGUCUCCGUCGCCAAAAUCUUACCAGGGAUUGCCACUCUCGGCAAAUCAAGCACAACGGACUGUUUGUUCACCAGCCUUGCCAGCGUCAGUUCAAUUACUGAUGGUUCUUGUGGUUUUAAUCUAUGGUCUAAUUGUUUUUUAGGUUGCUCUUGUUUUCACGUGUAGGUAAGUGUAGUCAAUCUGAAGCUGAUUGUCAAUCCCUCAAACACAAUCAUAACUAGUGUUGCAUUGUUUUGAAAAGACACAUAAAUCUCCAAACGUCUUGCAGCGAGUUAUGAAUGUUGAUGUUAAAUAUCAAUGUCUUGGAAGCCUAUCAGUACGAUAGUUUGUGUGCUGUUUUAUAAACUAUGAUGUAUAGAUGGGUUCUUAGUUAGUAUUUUAAAGAAACUUAACUGAGAUGGAAAUCAGUUACAUUUUGCAUUAAUCAAAAUGGAGUUAGAAAAAUUGAGGUUAGCCGUAUGCUUUAAUGACCAGUACUUGACAGCUUGUGUAUCUGUCUGUAUUCAGCAUAUAUGAUUACUUUCUAACGAGGAAAUUCUAUAGCUGCCAGUGGAUAUUACAUAGCUGUGCUGAGCUGUUGCAAGAAGGACAUCUCAUCUAAAUUGCCUAGUACCUACUUGUGUUAGUGGAGUCUGUGCAGGUGUGUUGGGUACUUGAUAUGGAUAUUGGAAGAGGGUUAAAUGUCCCCCCAAUAUUGUUGCAGUAUGAUAUGGCACCGGUGUUACAGAUGUAGUACCUCACAGUGGAGUGGAAAGAUAAGUGGACCUAUGGGUAAAGUGCAGAUGCACAACACAGAGAACUGAACUGGGUUUUACUUGGUACAGUUUGAGUUCUUACUCCUUUCUCUAACUAUUUCUGUCUUUGAUACAAGUAUUUCCCCUACCCUAUCUCAUUUAAUCUCUAGUCUAGUUAAAGAAAAAAGAUGGUGGCUUGACUAUUCUUUUAGUCCCAUCAGUAGCUGACUGCUGAUGGACAGCUAUUUCUGAGCUACAAGUUGCUGUUAGAUUGUCUUGAUAUUUACAGAUUGAGAGUAGCCCAAAAAUAGCUAGAAGGAGGCUUUCAUUAGAAGUUCUCCUAAUUUUCUCUCUUUCUCUCUAUGAAAAUGAAGUCCGAGUUAAUGGGGACUUGAAAUGAAGGGCAGUGUGAGGCAGGGAGAAGCAGAUGCUGGAAAACAGUCUUAGAGAACUAAACACAGUGAUAACAGGGUGUGUAAAAAUUGAUCAGCAGUGGUGGUUCUCCUAGCCCAUUGGAGGCAGGACUGGGGCCAACAAGAAAGAAAAGCCAUUCAAAACUAACAAGUAGUUUUCUUAAGAACACUGUGCAAGAUGUUUUGGAAGUUGGCAGGCACUGCUAACUACAACUACAGGUGAAGUAAAGUUCACCUGCACACAAAAACUGUGUUCCAUAGCAGCCAUACAGCGUGCUGAACCCUGAUAGAUCAGUCUGGGAAGUGGAUUAAAUGAGCGUGGAGGUGAGGAAGCAGAAAUCUGCACUGAAAGAAGGGGGGAAUGAUAAGUAAGUUUAUCCUCCUUUCUUUCAGUGCUUAAUGUGACUUACUGUGUUUUCCCUUGUGUUUAGUGCCUAGGGCAUUAAAGUGUUAACAUUACACUCAACUGUGUCUUCCAGUAGUCCUUAUACAGAAGUUGGUAUAAGGAGUCACGUGGGGAGUCUUUGAAAUCAGGUGAGGUCGAUAAUGUGAAUUAUUCCAGACCUAUGAAGUAUUUUAAAUUCAGCCAAAUGCUUCAAUUUCACUGAAGCAAAACCCCAACAAUUCAGAUUGACCUUGAUAUAGUGGUACUGUUGCACAUUCUGCAGCUGGAAUUGUAGUGGAACUUACUUGGCAUACAGGAAACAGCAUUCAUAACCUCUAUUUCACUGCAGAUGUGCUGCUUCACUGAAAGUAGUUAGGAGUGUUGCAAAGGGAUGUUGAAAAAUAGUUAAAUGUAUAAAAGCAAGAGGUGCUUUCCUGGACACACUAGUGUUUUUUUUUUUUUUUUUUUUUUUUUUUU